rnacentral:lncRNA from 1 species
UUUGUCUUUGUGUUUCUCCCUUACCGUGAUUCUGAACUCCGAGAAUGAAUUGAUAUCAUACUUGCUGCGGGCUAAAGAAUGAAUUGAUAUCAUAAACCUGCAGUUGUGCUCACAUUUUCUGAUGUAAUUUUGUAGCCGUGUUAUAAAUCUUAAAGUUUGUUGUAAUUGUUGGAAAUUUUGAGUAUUUGACUCAAAUUUUGUAGAAUAUUUAAGUGGUUUAAUUUAAAUUCUCAAAAUUAAUUUUUGAUGAAUGAUAAAUUAAUGGAUCAUUUAAAAUAUUUAAGUGUGGAAAAUAAUAAAGUGAAAUGCCACCAUUGGAAAAUAAUAAAGUGAAACACUUAUGAAUCCAAGAAUUGGUCCAAGGCCGAAAUGGACACAACGUGAGAACAAAAGACGUUAGAGAUGUUAUUGUGUAAGUGUUGUUGUCUUGGUUUACACCAAAGUUGAUUAGUUCAAGACAUCGCGUUCACUAAGCAACAAUUAAAUCCUACAACAUUUUACUAAGGAAGGUUCAAAGCCAUAAGCUACCUCUCCCGAUGCAAUAACAAAUCGCUUGGACUUUAAAUGUGUCAGCAUGCAUUAAUUUCAUUCAUGUGGGGGAUUGUUGGAAAUUUUGAGUAUUUGACUCAAAUUUUGUAGAAUAUUUAAGUGGUUUAAUUUAAAUUCUCAAAAUUAAUUUUUGAUGAAUGAUAAGUUAAUGGAUCAUUUAAAAUAUUUAAGUGUGGAAAAUAAUAAAGUGAAAUGCCACCAUUGAAAAAGAUGGAGGUGUUUAAGCACCUAUUAAAUUGAAUAGGUGUGUGGUUAAUGGGAAAAGGUGUGAUACCUUUUCAUGAAAUUAUUUUCCUAAGAGUUGUGACCUGUGGUCAUAACCUUUGAAAAUCUAUAAAUAGAUUCCAAAAUCCACCAUUUGAAAAGAGUUCAUUAUUCACAUGGAAUUCAAUACAUUAAUUGAAUUCACUUCUCGUCAUAACAUAUCAUUGCAUAUUGUUGCAUUAACAAGUCCAUUCUUCGUGUCUUAUAAAGUCCUAAACGUCGUUUCGUUCGCCGUGUUCCAAUAAUUGUUGUGCUGCUUUGUUGGAACUGAAAUAGUCGUUGUAUCUUGGGAGACAAUUGCCGUAAACCGAGAGCACUGCACGGGGCAAAUUUGUCUUAAGGAGAAAGAAUCUAGUUCUUGCAUCGACUACAUUUUUCUUGUCAAACUUCUGUCCAAAUUUUGUUCGUUCCCAUUUCAAAAUACACACACCCACAAUUAACAGUAAUUUCGUAAGGCAUCUAUUGUUUAUCAAGUGUUGUUCAGCACGAUUCUAGCUUGACAAUGAUGGCACUUCUACAGAUGAUCUAAUUAGAUCAUAUGGUUUCA